UACAGAGGGGGCAAGCGUUGUUCGGAAUUACUGGGCGUAAAGGGCGCGUAGGCGGCCUGCUAAGUCGAACGUGAAAUCCCUGGGCUCAACCCAGGAACUGCGUCCGAUACUGGUUGGCUUGAAUCCGGGAGAGGGACGUGGAAUUCCAGGUGUAGCGGUGAAAUUCGUAGAUAUUCGGAAGAACACCAGUGGCGAAGGCGACAUACUGGUCCGUUACUGACGCUGAGGCUCGAAAGCGUGGGGAGCAAACAGG
rnacentral:rRNA from 1 species